UUAAAUUGAAGAGUUUGAUCAUGGCUCAGAUUGAACGCUGGCGGCAGGCCUAACACAUGCAAGUCGAACGGUAACAGGAAGCAGCUUGCUGCUUCGCUGACGAGUGGCGGACGGGUGAGUAAUGUCUGGGAAACUGCCUGAUGGAGGGGGAUAACUACUGGAAACGGUGGCUAAUACCGCAUAACGUCGCAAGACCAAAGAGGGGGACCUUCGGGCCUCUUGCCAUCAGAUGUGCCCAGAUGGGAUUAGCUUGUUGGUGAGGUAACGGCUCACCAAGGCGACGAUCCCUAGCUGGUCUGAGAGGAUGACCAGCCACACUGGAACUGAGACACGGUCCAGACUCCUACGGGAGGCAGCAGUGGGGAAUAUUGCACAAUGGGCGCAAGCCUGAUGCAGCCAUGCCGCGUGUAUGAAGAAGGCCUUCGGGUUGUAAAGUACUUUCAGCGGGGAGGAAGGUGUUGUGGUUAAUAACCGCAGCAAUUGACGUUACCCGCAGAAGAAGCACCGGCUAACUCCGUGCCAGCAGCCGCGGUAAUACGGAGGGUGCAAGCGUUAAUCGGAAUUACUGGGCGUAAAGCGCACGCAGGCGGUCUGUCAAGUCGGAUGUGAAAUCCCCGGGCUCAACCUGGGAACUGCAUUCGAAACUGGCAGGCUUGAGUCUUGUAGAGGGGGGUAGAAUUCCAGGUGUAGCGGUGAAAUGCGUAGAGAUCUGGAGGAAUACCGGUGGCGAAGGCGGCCCCCUGGACAAAGACUGACGCUCAGGUGCGAAAGCGUGGGGAGCAAACAGGAUUAGAUACCCUGGUAGUCCACGCCGUAAACGAUGUCUACUUGGAGGUUGUGCCCUUGAGGCGUGGCUUCCGGAGCUAACGCGUUAAGUAGACCGCCUGGGGAGUACGGCCGCAAGGUUAAAACUCAAAUGAAUUGACGGGGGCCCGCACAAGCGGUGGAGCAUGUGGUUUAAUUCGAUGCAACGCGAAGAACCUUACCUGGUCUUGACAUCCACAGAAGAAUCCAGAGAUGGAUUUGUGCCUUCGGGAACUGUGAGACAGGUGCUGCAUGGCUGUCGUCAGCUCGUGUUGUGAAAUGUUGGGUUAAGUCCCGCAACGAGCGCAACCCUUAUCCUUUGUUGCCAGCGGUCCGGCCGGGAACUCAAAGGAGACUGCCAGUGAUAAACUGGAGGAAGGUGGGGAUGACGUCAAGUCAUCAUGGCCCUUACGACCAGGGCUACACACGUGCUACAAUGGCGCAUACAAAGAGAAGCGACCUCGCGAGAGCAAGCGGACCUCAUAAAGUGCGUCGUAGUCCGGAUUGGAGUCUGCAACUCGACUCCAUGAAGUCGGAAUCGCUAGUAAUCGUGGAUCAGAAUGCCACGGUGAAUACGUUCCCGGGCCUUGUACACACCGCCCGUCACACCAUGGGAGUGGGUUGCAAAAGAAGUAGGUAGCUUAACCUUCGGGAGGGCGCUUACCACUUUGUGAUUCAUGACUGGGGUGAAGUCGUAACAAGGUAACCGUAGGGGAACCUGCGGUUGGAUCACCUCCUUACCUUAAAGAA
rnacentral:rRNA from 1 species